UACGAAGGGGGCUAGCGUUGUUCGGAAUUACUGGGCGUAAAGGGCGCGUAGGCGGCGUGUCAAGUCAGGCGUGAAAGCCCCGGGCUCAACCUGGGAACCGCGCUUGAGACUGGCAUGCUCGAGUUCGGGAGAGGAUGGUGGAAUUCCCAGUGUAGAGGUGAAAUGCGUAGAGAUCGGGAGGAAGGCCGGUGGCGAAGGCGGCGCUCGUGGAACGGCCCUGACACUGAGGCUCGAAAGCGUGGGGAGCAAACAGG
rnacentral:rRNA from 1 species